rnacentral:rRNA from 1 species
UACGUAGGGGGCAAGCGUUAUCCGGAUUUACUGGGUGUAAAGGGAGCGUAGACGGCAUGGCAAGUCAGAUGUGAAAGCCCGGGGCUCAACCCCGGGACUGCAUUUGAAACUGUCAGGCUGGAGUGCAGGAGAGGUAAGUGGAAUUCCUAGUGUAGCGGUGAAAUGCGUAGAUAUUAGGAGGAACACCAGUGGCGAAGGCGGCUUACUGGACUGUAACUGGCGUUGAGGCUCGAAAGCGUGGGGAGCAAACAGG